rnacentral:rRNA from 1 species
CCUACGGGUGGCAGCAGUGAGGAAUAUUGGUCAAUGGGCGGGAGCCUGAACCAGCCAAGCCGCGUGAGGGAAGAAGGUACAGCGUAUCGUAAACCUCUUUUGUCAGGGAACAAAGGCGGGGACUAGUCCCCGGAUGAGGGUACCUGAAGGAAAAGCAUCGGCUGACUCCGUGCCAGCAGCCGCGGUAAUACGGAGGAUGCGAGCGUUAUCCGGAUUUAUUGGGUUGAAAGGGUGCGCAGGCGGCCGGUAAAGUCAGCGGUAAAAGCCCGGGGCUCAACCGCGGCGAGCGGUGGAAACUGGCGGGCUGGAGUUGGAGAGAGGUACGUGGAAUGCGCGGUGUAGCGGUGAAAUGCGUAGAUAUCGCGCAGAACCCCGAUGGCGAAGGCAGCGUACUGG